AAUUUAGGUUAGACUAAGAAAAAUAUUUUCUUAGAAGAAAUUCUAAGAAAAUAUUUUUUUUCGUAUGUGUUUGGAGUAAUGUAACAAGUUACAAUAUUUUCUAAUAGAAAAUACGAUUAAGAUAAAAAAAUAAUUUAAAUUCAAAUGCAUUUAGAAAUAAACAUACCCCUCGUAGACUUUGGUAGCAGGUAAGCGGUAAGCUAAAAAAGUCACUCAUUUUCAUAUGGGGUUACGGAUAGCCAAUAGAAAACGAACACGCGCUCGCGGUCGAAUAUAAUAGAAGCCAGAAAAAGAAUAGGAGCUUCAUAGUAAAUCACCUAGCUUCGGUCUCAGUCCGGUUUAGUCUAUUCGCAUGAGAAGGUGCAUAAGCAGUUCAGAAAAGUUAAAAAAAAACGUGGUGUGUUACAGUUACAAACUAAAAAGCGAGCUAGAUAACAGUUGAAAAAUACCAAGUGAGUUUAAAUCAUACUGUAGCAUUAUGCACUGAAAAGAGGUUAACUUAAAUUAUCUUUGAUAGGAUUCUCGCUAAAACCAUUGUGAUUAUUGUAAAGCACAUGGUUAUCAGUCCUUGUGAAAUAGAGCAAAAAUCUCAGAUUUCCUUCAAACGAAGGUCGCCGGUCGGGGCCAAGUUCGGCCGACCCAGGCCAGAAAAGCACUACGGGAGUGAACUCGCACCUAACCAUUAAAACCGGAGAGGAUCGCUUGGUUGCGAUCACGUCGUACAUCCGCCAUUCUCGUACGACGCCGCAGUGGACAGAUCACCAACUAUUUGCUAAUCACCACGGCGAGCGGUAACCUCCUCCCGCUCCAUCGUCCCUUGUGAGCAAAUCACCUCCGCGGAGCAAAUCGGUGCAACGUUACGCCCAAGCACGGUACCAGAGCAUAGAUCACCACCUGCUGCCAGCAUACCCCUCCGGGGUGGAAGCAUUCAUAAUUAGAGCUUUCAAGUUCGUGUUCAUCCAGCCAUCCAUCGUACCGGUACGCAACGUCUCCAAGCCUCAUCCCGCCUCGUCGCCCGCCAGACGUCAGGAAGCAGGUACGAGUGAAUCAGGUGAUGUACUAGAGUGAAUCCAACUAGAAUCCAUGGAAUAGCGUGGGGAACAUGUGUUAGGCUGGAGAGAAUAAAUGUAGGCGAUUGAAUGCGAAGUGUCGUGACUAACUUGACCCGAUCUUAGCUAGGAUUUUAAAUAUCUCGGAAACUCGAAUCAAUUUUUAAUUCAGGUAUACGUUUGUUGGAAUAUUGGUUGCACGUGUCACAUAUCAGGAAGUGAACCUUGAUACCAGAGUCUCAUCGGGCAUAGUUGAAUCGCGGCUUUGCGGUAGCUUCGCUACCUGGCGCGGAAGCAAAGUUUGUUAGUGAGCUUCCGCAUGUGU